ACGGGAGGCAGCAGUAGGGAAUCUUCCACAAUGGGCGAAAGCCUGAUGGAGCAACGCCGCGUGAGUGAAGAAGGAUUUCGGUUCGUAAAACUCUGUUGUAAGGGAAGAACAAGUACAGUAGUAACUGGCUGUACCUUGACGGUACCUUAUUAGAAAGCCACGGCUAACUACGUGCCAGCAGCCGCGGUAAUACGUAGGUGGCAAGCGUUGUCCGGAAUUAUUGGGCGUAAAGCGCGCGCAGGUGGUUUCUUAAGUCUGAUGUGAAAGCCCACGGCUCGACCGUGGAGGGUCAUUGGAAACUGGGAGACUUGAGUGCAGAAAAGGAUAGUGGAAUUCCAAGUGUAGCGGUGAAAUGCGUAGAGAUUUGGAGGAACACCAGUGGCGAAGGCGACUAUCUGGUCUGUAACUGACACUGAGGCGCGAAAGCGUGGGGAGCAAACAGGAUUAGAUACCCUGGUAGUCCACGCCGUAAACAAUGAGUGCUAAGUGUUAGGGGGUUUCCGCCCCUUAGUGCUGCAGCUAACGCAUUAAGCACUCCGCCUGGGGAGUACGGUCGCAAGACUGAAACUCAAAGGAAUUGAC
rnacentral:rRNA from 1 species